GUUGAAACACCAGUUCCCGUACGAUCACCGAAGUUAAGCAACGUUCAACCUGGUCAGUAGCUAGCUGGGUAACCGCCUGAGAAUACCAUGUGCUGUAAG